UUUGAUUAUGGCUCAGAUUGAACGCUGGCGGCAGGCCUAACACAUGCAAGUCGAGCGCGAAAGCUCUUCGGAGUGAGUAGAGCGGCGGACGGGUGAGUAACGCGUAGGAAUCUACCCAGUAGUGGGGGACAACUUGGGGAAACUCAAGCUAAUACCGCAUACGCCCUAUGGGGGAAAGCGGGGGACCUUCGGGCCUCGUGCUAUUGGAUGAGCCUGCGUUGGAUUAGCUAGUUGGUGGGGUAAAGGCCCACCAAGGCGACGAUCCAUAGCCGGUCUGAGAGGAUGAUCAGCCACACUGGGACUGAGACACGGCCCAGACUCCUACGGGAGGCAGCAGUGGGGAAUCUUGGACAAUGGGCGCAAACCUGAUCCAGCCAUGCCGCGUGAGUGAUGAAGGCCUUAGGGUCGUAAAGCUCUUUCGCCAGAGAUGAUAAUGACAGUAUCUGGUAAAGAAACCCCGGCUAACUCCGUGCCAGCAGCCGCGGUAAUACGGAGGGGGUUAGCGUUGUUCGGAAAUACUGGGGCGUAAAGCGCGCGUAGGCGGGAUAGUAAGUUAGAGGUGAAAUCCCGGGGCUCAACCCCGGACUGCCUUAAUACUGCUAGUCUUG
rnacentral:rRNA from 1 species